ensembl:snRNA U6 U6 spliceosomal RNA
AUGCUUGCUUUGGCAGCACAUAUAUUAAAAUUGGAACAAUACAGAGAAGAUUAUCAUGGCCCCUGUGCAAUGAUUACAGGCCAAUUCACAAAGUGUUCCAUAUAUAU